GUGGCUUCACUGCUGGCGGAACGGCAGAGGGCUUGGCUGCUACCAGGGUGAUUCAAAGGGAGUAUAUAGUUAGUUCCAAAUUACAAUGUUUGUGCUAUCAGUGACAAUUCGGUGGAAUAAGAUGAGUCAUAUAUACACCCAAUGGAUAUCACCUAGGUGCAUAAAUCAUAAUCAUUCAGUUUUUAUUUGGCAAGCUGGAGCUACCCA